rnacentral:rRNA from 1 species
UACAGAGGUCUCAAGCGUUGUUCGGAUUCAUUGGGCGUAAAGGGUGCGUAGGCGGCGCGGUAAGUCGGGCGUGAAAUCUCGGAGCUUAACUCCGAAACUGCACUCGAUACUGCCGUGCUUGAGGACUGGAGAGGAGACUGGAAUUUACGGUGUAGCGGUGAAAUGCGUAGAUAUCGUAAGGAAGACCAGUGGCGAAGGCGGGUCUCUGGACAGUUCCUGACGCUGAGGCACGAAGGUCAGGGGAGCAAACGGG